rnacentral:lncRNA from 1 species
GGGAGGGGGAGGAGGAAUAAUAUGGUGUAGUUUCAUGAAUGUUCCAACCUAUAUCCUUACUGAUUUUCAGCCUGCAGGAUCUUUCUAUUUCUGAGAGAUGGGUGAUAAAGCCUCCAACUGUAAUAGUGGAUUCAUCUGUUUCUCUGUAGUUUAUCGAUUUUUGCCUCAUGUAGCAUGAUACUCUUUUGUAAAACAUGUAUGCCUCUUAUAUUCAGUGUGAGACCUUAGUAGAACCCCUAGUGGUAAAACUUACUACAUUGUGGGAGUCCCCUGUGACUGGGCACCUCUGGAAUUUUUUAAAAGUAUGUUGGUGGACCUUUACUUUAUUCAUUUAUUUAUAUGCAAUGCUGAGAAUCAAACCCAGUGCACAUCUUGUGGUUGUACAUGAUGUGGAAUUACCUUGGUCAUGUAUUUAUAUACAAGGAUAAGAAAGUUAUGUCCAAUGUAAUUUUAAUUUGUAUCUCCCUAAUAGCUAAUAUUGAUGGCCAUAUGUUCAUGGGCAUAUUUACCAUUUCUGUAUCUUCUUUGGUCAACUGUCACUUCAAUUUUUUUUUUAAUUCAGCUACUUAAGUCUGUUUUCUUCUUAUAGGCUUUUGAGAGAUUUUUUAUAUUUUUGUGUAAAAAUCCUUUAUCAGAUAUAUGAUUUUCAAAUAUUUGAAAUAUUUCACUUCCAUUAAGUGUUUCACUUUAUUAAUACCGAUUCUGAAGUAAUAAAUUUUGGGGGAGGGGUACCAGGGAUUGAACUCAGGAGCACUCAACUACUGAGCCACAUCCUUGUUCCUAAUUUUUAUUUUAUUUAGAGACAGGUUCUUAGUGAGUUGCGUAGUGCCUUGCUUUUGCUGAGGCUGGCUUUGAACUCACUGACCUCCUGCCUCAGUCUCCCAGGCUGCUGGGAUUACAGGUGUACACCACUGUGCCUGGCAGUAACAAAUAUUUUAACAUUCAGAAAGUCCUAUUUAUUAAUUUGUUCAUUUAUUGAUGAUGGUUUUCAUGUCCCAUCUAAAAAAUCUUCACUUAAUCCAAGGUCGAAUGGAUUUCCCCUAUGUUUUUCUUUCUGGAACUUUUUUUCUUGAGCAAGAGAUGCAGAAAGAACAGGCAAAGUAUAAAUUUAUUGAAGGUGAAGAUGAAAGUAGUACUCUGUAAGGCAGAGCAGAGUUGACCAAGUGAGAGAGAGGCUCAAGGUCUUUUCUGGAACAUUUACAGCUUACAUAUUAUAUUUAGGUGUUUGGUAUAUUUUUAGUUAAUUUUUAUAUGUGAUAUGAUAUAUGAAUUACAGUUUAUGUUUGUAUAUAUGGAUAUCCAUCUAUCCCAGUAACAUUUGUUGAAAAGAUGGUACUUUCUCCACUAAAUUACCUUUUGUACCUUUCUUGAAAGUCAGUUGUCCAUAUAUGCAUGGAUCCUUUUCUGGAUUCUGUAUCAUGUUCCACUAAUCUAAUGUCUUGUUGCCAGAAGCAUGCUGUCUUUUGAUUACCAUAGGUUUAUCAUUAUUCUUGAAAACAGCUAGUGUUUGUCCUCCAACUUUGUUCUUCCUUUUUGAAGGUGUUUUUUCAUAGUCUAGAUCUUCUGACUUUAUACACGAAAUUUAGUAUUUCCUUGCCAGUUUCUGAAAAAAAAUUGGUAGGAUUUUGUUUGGAAAUACAUGUAAGUAUUGAUUGGGGAGAAAUAUAAAACUUUAGAAAACGAGAUCUUCCAACUCAAGAGGAGAAAAAAAAGUGUCCUAGAGAAAAUUUUCAGGUCAUCUCCAGAAAAGCAAAUCUCUAAAAGAAUAGUUGUGGUUUUUCUAUCUUUGUAUUUGUGGUAAAUCUAUUGAAUAAUGGUAUUUUUCUUCUUUACCCACCCACAGCAUAUCUACCUCAAUAAAUCCUGAUUUCU